CUGCAGGACAAGUUCGAGCAUCUUAAAAUGAUUCAACAGGAGGAGAUAAGGAAGCUCGAGGAAGAGAAAAAACAACUGGAAGGAGAAAUCAUAGAUUUUUAUAAAAUGAAAGCUGCCUCUGAAGCACUGCAGACUCAGCUGAGCACCGAUACAAAGAAAGACAAACAUCCUGAUCCAUAUGAAUUCCUCUUCAAGAAAAAUAAAGCAUCCAGGAUUCAAUGAAGAACUGACUAUCACCUUGUUAAUCAUUCAGAAACAUGUUGCAGACUUAAGCCAUUUUUGAUAUAGAUACUGAAACAAUUACUUGCUAAGAGCAAACUUGAAGGUAUGGAUAAGGCCCUGAGUCAUCUUCCUGAGCUGAAUGAUAGUUAAGCUGAAUGUACGUAUAAAAUAUGAUUUUCUAACCACUUGCUCGCCAACAAGGAAAACUUUUAAGUAGAGCAGAACCUGAAUAGACAAGACAUUUCUUUCUUUUGGUAGAAAAUGAUUUACCAUCACUGUCUAGUUAAUUGUAGACUAGGUAAUUUUAACUUUGUGAUUUAUUGCCGGAGACAUUUUCUUCUGUACUGUAAAGUGUGUGUCAAAAAAAAAUAGCGAUUUUGGAGGAUUAGGGGAGUUUGAUAAAUUGCCUGCAAUUCUGGCAGUAUGAACUGCAUAUUAAUUUCUCUCUUUCAAGAACAUUUUUAUUAAUUCCUUACAAAAACUCCCUAAACUUUGGAACAGCUCUCAAUUGCCUGUAUUC
rnacentral:lncRNA from 1 species